GGCUCAGACUUAGUUGGACUGCAAAUCCAAUUUUGGGAGGGUUUCCCCUGGACUU
rnacentral:tRNA from 1 species